AGUCAGUGAGCUUUGAGGAUGUGGCUGUGAAGUUCACACAGGAGGAGUGGGCUGUGCUGGAUCCAUCCCAGAAGAAGCUGUACAAAGAUGUGAUGCAGGAAACCCUGAAGAACCUGGCUUCCAUAGGAAAGAAGUCCAACAAACAGAAGGCUAUAAAUGAGUAUGAAAAUCUCUGGAGAAAACUCAGCAGCCACCUGGCGGAGAAAUUCAGUGACUAUAAGUUGUAUAAACAUAAGGAGUUUGGGAGCAGCUUCACAUAUCCUCUGUCCCUUCAGAUGCAUAAAAGUGCUCACAGUGGAAAGAAACCUUCUAAAAAUAAGGACUGUGAGGACCUUUUACUCCAAUCUGGUCAAGGAAAUAAAGAACAUCACCCUGCAAAAAAAAUCUUACGUUCAAAAGCUGUUUGGGAAAGGCCUCACGCAUCCCAGUCCUUUACAAAGGCAUGAGAAGAGUCACAGCGUUAAGAAGCCCUAUGUAUGUGAACUGUGUGGUAAAGGCUUUGUUCGCUUAGAUAAUCUUUUAAGACAUAAGAUGACUCCAGAUUGUGAGAAGACUUUUUUUUUUUUGUAAUCACUGUGGGAAAAUUUUUUUCUCGUUCUGCUUACCUCGAAAACACACAAAAAUUCAUACUGGUGAGAAACCCUAUGUGGGUGAGCAGUAUGGGAGAGAUUUUCUUUAUUCUGCUUACUUUCAGAUUCAUAGAAGAAGUCACACUGGAGAGAAACCCAGUGUGUGUAAGCAAUGUGGGAAAGCCUUCACUGCUUCUCAGUACCUUCAUAUACACGAACAAAUUCAUACUGGAAAAAAAAAGUUACGUAGGUAAGCAGUGUGGGAGUGCCUUCUCAUUUUGGAAUCAAUUUUAGAAACAUAAAAUAUCUCACAGUGGUGUGAAUCCCUAUACUUGUAAGCCAUGUGGGAAAGGUUUCACAUGUUCUGGUUUCCUGAGAGCACAUGAAAGAAUUCACACUGAUGAGAAGUCCUAUGUGUAUAAGCACUGUGGGAAAACCUUUGCUCAUUUUGGUAGCCAUAAAAGACAUAAAAAAAAAAAAAAA
rnacentral:lncRNA from 1 species